AAUUUUGGACAAUGGGCGAAAGCCUGAUCCAGCCAUUCCGCGUGAGUGAAGAAGGCCUUCGGGUUGUAAAGCUCUUUCGGCAGGAACGAAACGGUCUAGGUUAAUACCUUGGGCUAAUGACGGUACCUGAAGAAGAAGCCCCGGCUAACUACGUGCCAGCAGCCGCGGUAAUACGUAGGGUGCAAGCGUUAAUCGGAAUUACUGGGCGUAAAGCGUGCGCAGGCGGUUUUGUAAGACAGAUGUGAAAUCCCCGGGCUCAACCUGGGAACUGCGUUUGUGACUGCAAGACUUGAGUACGGCAGAGGGGGGUAGAAUUCCACGUGUAGCAGUGAAAUGCGUAGAGAUGUGGAGGAAUACCGAUGGCGAAGGCAGCCCCCUGGGAUGAUACUGACGCUCAUGCACGAAAGCGUGGGGAGCAAAC
rnacentral:rRNA from 1 species